UACGUAGGGGGCGAGCGUUGUCCGGAUUUACUGGGCGUAAAGGACGCGCAGGCGGCCCGAGGGGUCUGUCGUUAAAGCCCGGGGCUCAACCCCGGGUGGUCGGCGGAGACCGGCGGGCUUGGAGGCCGGUAGAGGGAUGCGGAAUUCCCGGUGUAGUGGUGAAAUGCGUAGAGAUCGGCAGGAACACCCAAGGGGAAGCCAGCUGGCUGGGCAUUUGCUGACGCUCAUGUGCGACAGCGUGGGGAGCGAACUGG
rnacentral:rRNA from 1 species